UACAGAGGGUGCAAGCGUUGUUCGGAAUUAUUGGGCGUAAAGGGUGCGUAGGCGGUUUGGUAAGUCUUAUGUGAAAUCUACAGGCUCAACUUGUAGUCUGCAUGAGAAACUGCCGGGCUUGGGUAUGGGAGAGGUGAGUGGAAUUCCCGGUGUAGCGGUGAAAUGCGUAGAUAUCAGGAGGAACACCUGUGGCGAAAGCGGCUCACUGGACCAUAACUGACGCUGAUGCACGAAAGCUAGGGGAGCAAACAGG
rnacentral:rRNA from 1 species